rnacentral:rRNA from 1 species
UACAGAGGUCCCAAGCGUUGUUCGGAUUCACUGGGCGUAAAGGGUGCGUAGGCGGUUUGAUAAGUCUGAUGUGAAAUCCCGCAGCUUAACUGCGGAACUGCAUUGGAAACUAUUUGACUAGAGGAAUGGAGGGGAGACUGGAAUACUUGGUGUAGCAGUGAAAUGCGUAGAUAUCAAGUGGAACACCAGUGGCGAAGGCGAGUCUCUGGACAUUUCCUGACGCUGAGGCACGAAGGUCAGGGGAGCAAACGGG